rnacentral:rRNA from 1 species
GUGGGGAAUAUUGGACAAUGGGCGAAAGCCUGAUCCAGCAAUGCCGCGUGAGUGAUGAAGGCCUUAGGGUUGUAAAGCUCUUUUACCCGGGAUGAUAAUGACAGUACCGGGAGAAUAAGCUCCGGCUAACUCCGUGCCAGCAGCCGCGGUAAUACGGAGGGAGCUAGCGUUGUUCGGAAUUACUGGGCGUAAAGCGCACGUAGGCGGCUUUGUAAGUUAGAGGUGAAAGCCUGGAGCUUAACUCCAGAACUGCCUUUAAGACUGCAUCGCUUGAAUCCAGGAGAGGUGAGUGGAAUUCCGAGUGUAGAGGUGAAAUUCGUAGAUAUUCGGAAGAACACCAGUGGCGAAGGCGGUUCACUGGACUGGUAUUGACGCUGAGGUGCGAAAGCGUGGGGAGCAAACAGGAUUAGAUACCCCAGUAGUCC